rnacentral:rRNA from 1 species
UGAGGAAUAUUGGUCAAUGGGCGAGAGCCUGAACCAGCCAAGUAGCGUGCAGGAUGACGGCCCUAUGGGUUGUAAACUGCUUUUAUAUGGGAAUAAAGUGAGGGACGUGUCCCUUAUUGCAUGUACCAUACGAAUAAGGACCGGCUAAUUCCGUGCCAGCAGCCGCGGUAAUACGGAAGGUCCAGGCGUUAUCCGGAUUUAUUGGGUGUAAAGGGAGCGUAGGCUGUUUGUUAAGCGUGUUGUGAAAUGUAAGAGCUCAACUUUUAGAUUGCAGCGCGAACUGGCAGACUUGAGUGCGCAGAACGUAGGCGGAAUUCAUGGUGUAGCGGUGAAAUGCUUAGAUAUCAUGACGAACUCCGAUUGCGAAGGCAGCUUACGGGAGCGCAACUGACGCUAAAGCUCGAAAGUGCGGGUAUCGAACAGG